CGGACGGGUGAGUAUCGCGUAGGGAUUUAUCGUUGGGUGGGGGAUAACCUUGGGAAACUGGGGCUAAUACCGCAUGACGCCUUUGGGCCAAAGCAGUGAUGCGCCUGAUGAGGAGCCUGCGUCCGAUUAGCUAGUUGGUUGGGUAAAGGCUGACCAAGGCAUCGAUCGGUAGCUGGUCUGAGAGGAUGAUCAGCCACACUGGGACUGAGACACGGCCCAG
rnacentral:rRNA from 1 species